AGCAGAGGAAGCUGUUUGCGGGGAAAAAGGGCCAGAGAAGCAGGUAGGCUCCUCAAGCUUGGAUGGAGUGGGGCUUGGCACUAGAUUUGCUUAAAGUCCAGCCACUUCAGCCUCUCCCUUCGGUUUGUCUCCUAGGGGUUCCCUGUACGUACCCCUUUCCCUCCAGCACUGGAGCCCGAGUCUCCCGCUGAGCAGGCACCUCUCCCUCCACGCCCAGGCUUCUUAAACCAACCCCUCCUCCCCUUGUCAUUCAUGAACCAGAUGCAGAAACUGAGGCUCAGAAGCGUUCGGCCACGUGCAUGCAUUGCCUUUCCCAUUGGUGCUCCAUCGCCAGUAAUGGAUAAGUAAUAAGUAAUAAGGUGCAUUGGAAAUUCAAAUUUCAGAAUAAGCUGACUGCCAAGAGGGCCCUCCCCCUGUCGGGAGUCCCUUAGUCCAUGGGAAAUUCACAGAGAAGGAAACAGUCACUUUUCCUGCACCUGAGAAGGUGAUUCUGACUCUCCUGGAACCUGAGAACCACCAGUCUACGGGAACAGAGCCCUGCUUUGGGUCAGACGGGGUUUCGCCGGGCUGGUCUCCGCUCCUGACCGCGAGUGAUCCGCCGGCCUCGGCCUCCCGAGGUGCCGGGAUUGCAGAUGGAGUCUCGUUCACUCGGUGCUCAAUGGUGCCCAGGCUGGAGUGCAGUGGCGUGAUCUCGGCUCGCUACAACCACCUCCCAGCCGCCUGCCUUGGCCUCCCGAAGAGCCGAGAUUGCAGCCUCUGCCCGGCCGCCACCCCGUCUGGGAAGUGAGGAGCGUCUCUGCUUGGCCGCCCAUCGUCUGGGAUAUGAGGAGCCCCUCUGCCUGGCUGCCCAGUCUGGAGGGUGAGGAGUGUCUCUGCCCGGCCGCCAUCCCAUCUAGGAAGCGAGGAGCGCCUCUUCCCCGCCGCCAUCCCAUCUAGGAAGUGAGGAGCGUCUCUGCCCGGCCGCCCAUCGUCUGAGAUGUGGGGAGCGCCUCUGCCCCGCCGCCCUGUCUGGGAUGUGAGGAGCGCCUCUGCUGGGCCGCAACCCUGUCUGGGAGGUGAGGAGCGUCUCUGCCCGGCCGCUCCGUCUGAGAAGUGAGGAAACCCUCUGCCUGGCAACCGCCCCGUCUGAGAAGUGAGGAGCCCCUCCGUCCGGCAACCACCCUGUCUGGGAAGUGAGGAGCGUCUCCGCCCGGCAGCCACCCCGUCCGGGAGGGAGGUGGGGGGGGUCAGCCCCCCGCCCGGCCAGCCGCCCCGUCCGGGAGGUGAGGGGCUCCUCUGCCCGGCCGCCCCUACUGGGAAGUGAGGAGCCCCUCUGCCCGGCCAGUCGCCCCGUCCAGGAGGGAGGUGAGGGGGUCAGCCCCCCGCCCGGCCAGCCGCCCCGUCCGGAAGGGGGGGGGGGUCAGCCCCCC
rnacentral:lncRNA from 10 species